UACAGAGGUGGCAAGCGUUGUUCGGAUUUAUUGGGCGUAAAGGGUCCGUAGGCGGUCCGGAAAGUCGGGUGUGAAAUCCUACAGCUUAACUGUAGAACUGCACUCGAAACUCUCGGACUAGAGUAUGGAAGAGGUAAAGGGAAUUCCCGGUGUAAGGGUGAAAUCUGCAGAGAUCGGGAGGAACACCAGUAGCGAAGGCGCUUUACUGGUCCAUUACUGACGCUGAGGGACGAAAGCUAGGGGAGCAAACGGG
rnacentral:rRNA from 1 species